GCACUGCUGAGGAGUCCCACAUUAGAACGAAAUGGCCAUCCAGUAC
rnacentral:hammerhead_ribozyme from 1 species